UACAGAGGUGGCAAGCGUUGUUCGGAAUUACUGGGCGUAAAGGGCGCGUAGGCGGCUUGGUCAGUCCCGUGUGAAAUCCCUCGGCUCAACUGAGGAACUGCACGGGAAACUGCCUGGCUUGAGUUCGGGAGAGGGAAGCGGAAUUCCGGGUGUAGCGGUGAAAUGCGUAGAUAUCCGGAGGAACACCGGUGGCGAAGGCGGCUCACUGGGGCUUUUCUGACGCUGAGGAACGAAAGCCAGGGGAGCGAACGGG
rnacentral:rRNA from 1 species